CCCACAGACACGACAGCCAUCACCUGAUGAGAACACUGAUGAGAAUAUUACAUCUAGGGCUUUCUGCAUCUAAAACUGGGCAUGAACUUCAUGGGAACUUUUAUGCCAACAACCUGACAGGAUCCAGUUCCAAUGAGAAUACCAUCCACAGUUUUAAUGGUUGCUUUGGAGCUCUGACUCCAUGAACAUAAUUCAUCAUCAUUGAUCACACAGCUGUGACAUCUUCAGAGUUGCCUCUCAUGUUCUCUCACA